GAGAGAGAGAGAGAGAGAGAGAGAGAGAGAGAGAGAACCGAAUAGGAACAGGAAGAGGAGAAAGAGGAAAGGGAAAACCAAGCUAGAAGGAAAAAAAUCCUAGCUUUGCUGAUUGAAAUUCAAGUAGGAGGUUGGUGUGACACGUGAAUCGAGCACCUGGUACUGUUUGGGAUAUCCUUCUAAGGGCAUUGCUAUUGCGCUCAAGUGCGGAGCAACUAAGGCACAAUUUGAUAGCACGUUAUCUCUAUGAUGGUACGUUCAAAGGCCAAAGCUAGGAAAUCAGUACUCCCACCUAUGAAAGUGCAGGUCAAGAUGGGUGCAAAAGUUCACGAGGGAAGUAGUUCACACCAGACGCAACGGAAACCUAGUUGUUUCGCUGUUUAUGUGAAGGAUUUUACUCGAGGUCUAAAGGCAAUAUUUGAAGAAGACAAUAUAAUAAAACAAACAGAGGUUAGGAUUGAGGGAUGGAAAUAAAUUGUAUUUUUUUUAUCAGUACCAUUU